rnacentral:rRNA from 1 species
ACAUCCAGAGAAUUUAGCAGAGAUGCUUUAGUGCCUUCGGGAACUCUGAGACAGGUGCUGCAUGGCUGUCGUCAGCUCGUGUUGUGAAAUUGUUGGGUUAAGUCCCGNAACGAGCGCAACCCUUUAUCCUUUGUUGCCAGCACGUAAUGGUGGGAACUCAAAGGAGACUGCCGGUGAUAAACCGGAGGAAGGUGGGGAUGACGUCAAGUCAUCAUGGCCCUUACGAGUAGGGCUACACACGUGCUACAAUGGCGCAUACAAAGAGAAGCGACCUCGCGAGAGCAAGCGGACCUCAUAAAGUGCGUCGUAGUCCGGAUUGGAGUCUGCAACUCGACUCCAUGAAGUCGGAAUCGCUAGUAAUCGUAAAUCAGAAUGUUACGGUGAAUACGUUCCCGGGCCUUGUACACACCGCCCGUCACACCAUGGGAGUGGGUUGCAAAAGAAGUAGAUAGCUUAACCUUCGGGAGGGCGUUUACCACUUUGUGAUUCAUGACUGGGGUGAAGUCGUAACAAGGUAGGCGUAGUGCU